CUACGUCCACGGAAUAUAGGAGUUCUCAUUAAUUGUGAAGGGUUUACACAAGUACAUAGGUUCAAGCUCUCAUUUAGUGAGUACAAGUGAAUGAUUUAGUACAAAUGACAUUAGGAAAUAUUGUGGGAGAAUGAUCUCGUAAUCCACGAAACUUCUAAGUAUCGGAGUGUGGUAUCGUCUUGACUUGCCUUAUCUGUCUCAUAGGUAGAUGUGGCAUCUUCUCUGGAAGUACUC
rnacentral:lncRNA from 1 species